CAUAAAGGAUGGCGGUCUGGGCA
rnacentral:siRNA from 1 species